AUGCUUUUGUUUUCACGAGUUUUAUGUUUUUACUCCAGCUCCACAGAAACAGAAGAGCUAGUGCAUUUGUUUAAUGUCCCCAUUUUCCAUUCAUUUUCCUUUCAGACCUCACCUUGCUCUAGAAUACAGCGGCAAGGUAUGUACAUCCCAUCUUUCUCUUUGCUCCCUCUCCAGUCGUUAGAGCAAAUUCACAUUUCAUGGUGCUCCGGUGUAGACUUGAAAUUCUCUUGUCUCUGCAUCUUUCAGGCUACAAAGAUCCACCAGAGGGCCUUUGGUAAUGACCACCCGAUCACAGCCAGAAGCCUCGAGCUAAUGGCCACUGUCUAUGCUGAGAUUGGCAAGACUGAAUAUUCAGACUCCCUGGGUCAGUGUGUGUCUGCACUGUCCAAACGCUUAGCUGCUGCGGAAUCCAUCAGAGACUCAACCGUCAACUGUCUUCCUCAAUCCCACCGGGAGAAACACUCAGAGGUCCGCCACAGGAAGGACAUCCACCACCAACAGGAGGACACACCAAAAGCCAAGGUAACAAAUGGCAAAGUCCCCACCUCCAUUCUUAAGAGGCCGAGCCCAAACUACGGGUCAGACGCAGAACUGAACCACAGGAGGAAAGGCGAACGGAGGGUUCGAUUCCGAGAGCCAGAGACCACAGUACAUGCCUACGAGACGACACCGUCCCGCCCCCACCUCGCCCUCUUCACUUGCCUCUUCCUGCUGAUGUCAUUCCUGGGUGUGGCCAUGUACUGCACAGACCGCCGGCGCCCACAGCGAGUGUGUGAGGAGCUGGAGGCCGCUUUGGCCGUCUACCUGCUGCACAUGAAACAGCUUCUGUGGGGUUGCUGGAUAUGGUUGACCAUGCAAUGA
rnacentral:lncRNA from 1 species